CGCUGGCGGCGUGCCUAAUACAUGCAAGUCGAGCGCAGGAAGCGACACCGACCCCUUCGGGGUGACGUGUUGUGGAAUGAGCGGCGGACGGGUGAGUAACACGUGGGCAACCUACCUAUAAGACUGGGAUAACUCAUGGAAACGUGAGCUAAUACCGGAUAAGACUUCACUUCACCUGAAGAGAAGAUAAAAGGCGGCUUUUAGCUGUCACUUAUAGAUGGGCCCGCGGCGCAUUAGCUAGUUGGUGAGGUAACGGCUCACCAAGGCCACGAUGCGUAGCCGACCUGAGAGGGUGAUCGGCCACACUGGGACUGAGACACGGCCCAGACUCCUACGGGAGGCAGCAGUAGGGAAUUUUCCGCAAUGGACGAAAGUCUGACGGAGCAACGCCGCGUGAACGAUGAAGGUUUUCGGAUCGUAAAGUUCUGUUGUUAGGGAAGAACACGUACCGUUCGAAUAGGGCGGUAUCUUGACGGUACCUAACGAGAAAGCCCCGGCUAACUACGUGCCAGCAGCCGCGGUAAUACGUAGGGGGCAAGCGUUGUCUGGAAUUACUGGGCGUAAAGGAUGCGUAGGUGGAUACUUAAGUCUGAUGUGAAAGCCCGCGGCUCACCGUGGAGGGUCAUUGGAAACUGGGA
rnacentral:rRNA from 1 species